AAAUAAACUACAAUGGAAGAUCAACACAAGAACUCAAAUCCCAUUCUAGGCCUUAGCCAUCCUUGAAUGUAUACAAAUCCGAACCAAAAACUCAUCAUAAAACAAGACUAAAACCUUAAAAACUCCACUUACAUGACUCUCUUAAAGCUCAACAAAGACUCACAACAAAAAACCAUGAUGAACUCUCCACUCCGAGAUCACUUGUAGAUGCUCUCCCAAUGUGCCUCCUCCAAAACCGAGAGAAAGACGGCCAACAAUGUGCCCUCCCCCACUCGGGCCGGAGUGAGACCUCUUACCUCAAUCCAAUGGGGGAGGAGGGGUACUUAUAGAUCCGAGAGCACAUCCUCAUCAAGCUUGCAACAUCUCUUUUCCUUCUUGAGCUUUGAUCCUUUCCUCAUUUUGCCACACAAAUCCAAGCUUUUCCAAAAUCCUACACAUAACAAUCCAAAUAAGACAUAAAGGGGACAAGAGAGUAGAUAGAUGUACCUUGAUGAAGCUUUUGCCGGUGUUGGAGGGUGAAGGUGGUUGUGGAGUUGUUGGAAGGUGGAAAAAAUGGUGGAG
rnacentral:misc_RNA from 1 species